UGCCCGGUUGUGUAAUGGCAGCACUACGGAUUCUGGUUCCGUCUGUGGAGGUUCGAAUCCUUCCCGGGCAG
rnacentral:tRNA from 1 species